ensembl:lncRNA
AUGCCACACACAGACCCUCGAAGGAGACCCUGCACAUAGGCACAGCUUCGUACACAGACUGGCACUGGGCCCUGCGCCCCACACACUGCCACGGACGCGAGAAGUCACAGGGUCGGGACCGCUCUGCCGGCCAGCGGAGGGGCCCUGCCAGGUCGCCCUCCACACCCUCCACCUCUGGCCUGGGCCUGGGGACGGUGGACGGCAGCUGAGCCUGGGAUCUUAGCGGAAGUCAAGCUCAAGGACAAGAUCCCCAACAGCAGCGGAACCCACUGACCUGGCUGGGGUGCAGAUUGGAGAUGCCAGCCACCGGUUUCUCUGGAGCCCGGAGAAGAAUCCCAGUCUUUGAAAUGGCAAAACCCACAAAAGGUCACAUCCCUGUGUUUGAAAGAUGUGCGGGGACCAUGCUGACAAAUUCUGGAAAGAUACAGACCAUAAUGAGUUGUUUGGAGGGAAUUAGGGAGAUAACAAGGUACGCGGAAGUCUCUAGAACUGUGUGUGGUGUGUGGAGAAAGUGAAAGCACUGUCCCACGUACUACGCAACAGGCACCAAGAGAUCUGGGUUGCCCAAGUCACACAGCUGGUUAGGGCACAGGGAGGAAAAUCAGUCUCCUGAUUCCUAGUCAGGGCUCUGGUUCCUCCAGUGCUUUCUGAAACCAGUGAGGAUAUAAAUAGUCUAGGGGAUAAACAAGUGAGUUGUACUACAGUUAAAAAUCAGAUUAAAGAACUUAGAUUUCUGUCCCUCUGCUUGUUAUGGCCAAAAGGAACAGGUCCUCGAAAGUCAGCUAGAGUGAGACAGGAAACCAAGUGCAUUCCCGCCACCCCUCAUCCUUGUUCGGCUUAGGGACCCACUAAGGGGAGAGUUUAUUUGUCCUUGUCCCUCUCUUGACACCUCCCGGUCAUCUCACUGUUGCAGCCUAGGCCUCCCUCAGGUGCCCACUGAUCUCCCAAAUGCCAGCCCUGCUGAAUUCCGCCUUCCUCUUCCUACUCAAAUGGGCCACAGCAUUCCUAAGUGUGGUCAGAUAAGACCCCAAAGGCUAAAGUCAGGGAAGAACUAGAGGCAACUAACAACAAACCAGGUAAAUGUUUUAAGUUAUAGGCAUUCCUCGUUUAAGGAUCAAGUUUUAUCCUUGCUACUAUGUUGUGAAAUGAACUGGUCCCUAAAUGAUAAAGGAGGAGGUAUAGAUAGUACGGACAUUACACUAUUCAGAACAAAGAAAAGGAAACUCCAACUUGAUGACUUUGCUUUUUUUUUUUUGAGACAGAGUCUGGCUUUGUAGUUCAGGUUGGCCUUGAAAUCACUAUGUAGUUCAGGCUGGCCUUGAACUCGUGGUGAUCCUCCUGCCUCAGCCUCCCAAGUGCUGGGAUCACAGGUAUGCACCACCACACCCUUUGAUGACUUUGCUUUGAUUUGUAUAACUCUCACAUGCAGUAUUGUAAUGUAUAACAGAACAUAAAACUAUACUACUGUACUGUACACUACAAGCAGCAAAAAUUGCAGUACUGUGUAAAGUGUACUGUACAAAAAAGACACUGAGGCUCUAUAAAGAUGUCCAGAACUCUGC